rnacentral:ncRNA from 1 species
CGUCAGCGGUGUUUGCCACCUCGAUUAAUACGAUAGUUGAGGUUAAAUAGGGUUAAUUGCAAGAAAGUCUAAGGUUUUAACUAUGAUGACUUGCAGCGAAGUCUUUCAUAUAAAUAUUUAUAUUAUUAUAAAUAAAAGUGAUUGAAACGUUCAACGACUAGUAGGUGAGUAUUAUAACAAUAAUCCUACCACGAAAGCCCUAAAAUAUUUAUAUAUAUAUAUAUAUAAUAGAUAUUUAAGACAUAGUCUGAACUAUAUAGAAAUAUAUAG